rnacentral:rRNA from 1 species
CCUACGGGCGGCAGCAGUGGGGGAUAUUGCACAAUGGGGGAAACCCUGAUGCAGCGACGCCGCGUGGGUGAAGAAGCGCCUCGGCGCGUAAAGCCCUGUCAGCAGGGAAGAAAAUGACGGUCCCUGAAGAAGAAGCCCCGGCUAACUACGUGCCAGCAGCCGCGGUAAUACGUAGGGGGCAAGCGUUAUCCGGAUUUACUGGGUGUAAAGGGGGCGCAGACGGCGGUGCAAGCCAGGAGUGAAAGCCCGGGGCCCAACCCCGGGCCUGCUCUUGGAACUGCGUGGCUAGAGUGCAGGAGGGGCAGGCGGAAUUCCUGGUGUAGCGGUGAAAUGCGUAGAUAUCAGGAGGAACACCGGUGGCGAAGGCGGCCUGCUGGACUGCAACUGACGUUGAGGCCCGAAAGCGUGGGGAGCAAACAGGAUUAGAUACCCGAGUAGUC